rnacentral:pre_miRNA from 1 species
UCUAGGAAGAGGAAGAAAGAGAGGGCCUAGGAGCAAUGGGAAUGAGAACAUCGAGAAAAAAAUGAACUUAUCGGUUCUUCACCUCUUGUGUUGAGGUGGAAAUUCCGUUUGGUAUUUCCCACCGCCUCACAUUCAUGUCGUUCUUAAACGCUCCUUCCCCUCCCUUUUUGUU